UACGUAGGGUGCAAGCGUUGUCCGGAAUUAUUGGGCGUAAAGAGCUCGUAGGCGGUUUGUCACGUCGGCUGUGAAAACUCGGGGCUCAACCCCGAGCCUGCAGUCGAUACGGGCAGACUAGAGUGCUGUAGGGGAGACUGGAAUUCCUGGUGUAGCGGUGAAAUGCGCAGAUAUCAGGAGGAACACCGGUGGCGAAGGCGGGUCUCUGGGCAGUAACUGACGCUGAGGAGCGAAAGCGUGGGGAGCAAACAGG
rnacentral:rRNA from 1 species